UGGGGAUUUGUGUGACGGUGUCAUUAACCCAUUCAAGCAUUGGACGUUGGACGAUAAUGAUUUGUAAUUGUAUGAUCUAAACUCGUUCAUGCACUGAAAGGUGCGAUUCGGAGAGUUUGUUUCUAUCAUGGGUAAUGAUGGGCAAGAGAUACUAACUGAAUAUGUAUACACCUGUCCAAACUGUGAAGCCUGGUUCUGCUCAAAUAAAGAUUUAAACCAGCAUGAAAAGGAGCAGCAUGCCAAGCUUCAGAAACUGCAGUGCGACCAGUGCGACUUCCGAGGAACGAAACUGGCGCUGGGGGUGCACCGUGCAAGAAAACACAAAGA